AUUGAACGCUGGCGGCAGGCUUAACACAUGCAAGUCGAGCGAGCGGCGGACGGGUGAGUAAUGUCUGGGAAACUGCCUGAUGUAGGGGGUUAACUACUGGAAACGGUAGCUAAUACCGCAUACCAUCAGAUGUGCCAAGAUGGGAUUGGCGAGUAGGUGGGGUAUUGGCUCACCUAGGCGACGAUCCCUAGCUGGUCUGAGAGGAUGACCAGCCACACGGGAACUUAGACACGGUCCAUACUCCUACGGGAGGCAGCAGUGGGGAAUAUUGCACAAUGGGCGCAAGCCUGAUGCAGCCAUGCCGCGUGUGUGAAGAAGGCCUUCGGUUUGUAAAGCACUUUCAGCGAGGAGGCGUUACUCGCAGAAGAAGCACCGGAUAAAGACGGGCCAGCAGCCGCGGUAAUUC
rnacentral:rRNA from 1 species